AGUGAACGCUGGCGGUAGGCCUAACACAUGCAAGUCGAACGGCAGCACAGUAAGAGCUUGCUCUUACGGGUGGCGAGUGGCGGACGGGUGAGGAAUACAUCGGAAUCUACUUUUUCGUGGGGGAUAACGUAGGGAAACUUACGCUAAUACCGCAUACGACCUACGGGUGAAAGCAGGGGAUCUUCGGACCUUGCGCGAUUGAAUGAGCCGAUGUCGGAUUAGCUAGUUGGCGGGGUAAAGGCCCACCAAGGCGACGAUCCGUAGCUGGUCUGAGAGGAUGGUCAGCCACACUGGAACUGAGACACGGUCCAGACUCCUACGGGAGGCAGCAGUCGGGAAUAUUGGGCAAUGGGCGGAAGCCUGAUCCAGCCAUCCCGCGUGGGUGAAGAAGGCCUUCGGGUUGUAAAGCCCUUUUGUUGGGAAAGAAAAGCAGCAGGUUAAUACCCCGCUGUUCUGACGGUACCCAAAGAAUAAGCACCGGCUAACUUCGUG
rnacentral:rRNA from 1 species